GAGGUUUUAUUAUUAUUAGAAAAGAUACAGUACAAAAAAUAUUUUACAGGAGGUGGUCCCGAGGUCAAAGACUGUAAUGGGACCUCCUAUGCCCGUCCUUGCGCUGUGCA
rnacentral:lncRNA from 1 species